GGUAAGAUGACUGAAUUUUAGGUGUUAGAUUGUAAAUCUAAUUAUGGGAAUUAUUUCUCUCUUAUCA
rnacentral:tRNA from 2 species